UUCAAGGCAAGGACUUUAGCUGCUAGGCCACCGUGCCAGACCCCUGUUGGUCACAUUUUACCUUACCUUUGCCCUGUGUUAGGAUAUGGGCUGACAUGUGUAAGACUGGAUAUGUAUAUUGCGCUGACUAGCAAUCAUGAGCGUCCUCACUUUCCCAGGAUCAUAGAUAAAACUGUAAGGGUAGCGUGUCAGGGGCUCUCAGUGCCCCCUGGCAUCACUGAGAGGAGUGCUGCCAUGUCACAGCGCCUUCAGGUGAGUCACAACCUAGCCACAAGUGACGGGCACAUCCGGUGGAAGUUCAGGAUAAAACAUCACUUGUGUCUCAAAACAUCGCACUGUUGUGUGGUGACUGGAUAUUGCUGCCUAAAUUGUCCCAUGUCCUUUUGGAGAGAGAGAAUUUACCGGGAAUUGAAAUGUGCAAGCUGUCUUAAGAUGCAGUCAAAUAAAGUAUGGUUAUGUUG